rnacentral:piRNA from 1 species
UACAACAAGAGAUGAACUGGUUGCCAAGA